AGCAUCCUACGGGAGGCAGCAGUGGGGAAUAUUGCACAAUGGGCGCAAGCCUGAUGCAGCCAUGCCGCGUGUAUGAAGAAGGCCUUCGGGUUGUAAAGUACUUUCAGCAGUGAGGAAGGUGGAUAUGUUAAUAGCAUAUUCAUUUGACGUUAGCUGCAGAAGAAGCACCGGCUAACUCCGUUGCCAGCAGCCGCGGUAAUACGGAGGGUGCGAGCGUUAAUCGGAAUUACUGGGCGUAAAGCGCAUGCAGGUGGUUUGUUAAGUCAGAUGUGAAAGCCCGGGGCUCAACCUCGGAAUUGCAUUUGAAACUGGCAAACUAGAGUACUGUAGAGGGGGUAGAAUUUCAGGUGUAGCGGUGAAAUGCGUAGAGAUCUGAAGGAAUACCGGUGGCGAAGGCGGCCCCCUGGACAGAUACUGACACUCAGAUGCGAAAGCGUGGGGAGCAAACAGGAUUAGAUACCCUGGUAG
rnacentral:rRNA from 1 species